rnacentral:rRNA from 1 species
UACAGAAGCCUCAAGCAUUACCCGGAUUUACUGGGCGUAAAGGGUUCGUAGGCGGUUAUAUUAGUCGGAUGUUAAAUCCUGAGGCUCAACCUCAGGCUCGCAUUCGAAACGGUAUAACUAGAAGAAGUGAGAGGUAAACAGAACUCUCGGUGUAGGGGUGAAAUCCGUUGAUAUCGAGGGGAAUACCAAAUGCGAAGGCAGUUUACUGGCACUUUCUUGACGCUGAGGAACGAAAGCGUGGGUAGCGAAUCGG